UAGCUACCAAUGAUUCCAUGAAUCCAGUUGACAUUAUCCAAAAUUCAUUGCAGACAAAUGAAUACCAGUCAUGAUGAAUGAAAUUGCAUAAGAAUUUUUGUAUUUUUGAACUAAAACUUCAUCCCAGCAAUUCACAGCGACUGUGUAGGGUGAAAGCAAACAUGGAGACUAGCUGAGUAGCUAGACAGCAGAUUCCCUUGGAGUUGCUGAGACCGCCAUGACAGUGGAUGAGGGCUAUUCAGAGCUAAUCUUUGCAGCUACGAGAAUGCAUCACCAUCUGGAUGUCUACCCCGCUUAGAAAUCUACAUUCUUAGACCGAGUACAGAAAUUUAGCUAAUUUGAGAAGGGAAGAAUUAGAAAUUUACAGAAAACUCAACCGUCAAAACCACAACCACCAAGGUAAUUGAACAGCAGUGUGUAUUAGAUGGUAGUAAAUGCUUAUCUCUGUUUUCUCUAGUCACAUAGUUGGGAGCAUAAAAGAGACUCAGAGAACUUACACAAAUGAUCAAAAGUCAAAUAAUUAGCAAACAGAGGUGCCAAAGAACAAAUACAGGUGGAUUGGUCACGAAAGCCACAGGCUUUGUUAUGAUCUACUGUCUCCCCAUCUACAGAGACUGUCUUUCAUGUGCUGCUCCCAGGGCAUGAAAGGACCAGGGUGCCAAAGUGUCAUCUGCUCGCUUUCCCUGUACCUAAGAAUUAGGUAUUGUACUUUUGAAUCAUCAUUCGGAAGAGAAUUCCACUGGGAAGUCAGUACCCGUACCCCAGUCACUCUGCUCGGAUGCACUGUCCUCAGAGACGAACCUCCUAUGUGUGGAAAUGACCACGGAGAACAGAUUCUUUCUGUAACGUACAAAAAUCGUGGCCGCAUUUCUUGGAGAAAGUAGAUCAAAGCUAGAGUCUCUCUAUGAUUGUUUCUGCUCAUCUGCUUGUAAGCUUGUUUUCAGCCCCCCUUCCAAGGUUCAAAUACUAUCGAUUUACUUUACUUAUGAUGCUAAUUAUGAAUGGUUUGUCAUUUUAG